rnacentral:rRNA from 1 species
UACGGAGGGAGCUAGCGUUUAUUCGGAAUUACUGGGCGUAAAGCGCACGUAGGCGGCUUUGUAAGUUAGAGGUGAAAGCCUGGAGCUCAACUCCAGAACUGCCUUUAAGACUGCAUCGCUUGAAUCCAGGAGAGGUGAGUGGAAUUCCGAGUGUAGAGGUGAAAUUCGUAGAUAUUCGGAAGAACACCAGUGGCGAAGGCGGCUCACUGGACUGGUAUUGACGCUGAGGUGCGAAAGCGUGGGGAGCAAACAGG